AGCAUGGAUGUCCUGGUGCUGUUGCUAUGCCUGGUGACAUUUCCAAGCUGUGUCCUGUCCCAGGUGCAGCUGAAGGAGUCAGGACCUGGCCUUGUGCAACCCUCACAGACCCUGUCCCUCACCUGCACUGUCUCUGGGUUCUCAUUAACCAGCUAUAAUGUACACUGGGUUCGACAGCCUCCAGGAAAGGGUCUGGAGUGGAUGGGAGUAAUCUGGAGUGGUGGAAACACAGAUUACAAUUCAGCUCUCAAACCCCGACUGAGCAUCAGCAGGGACACCUCCAAGAGCCAAGUUUUCUUAACAAUGAACAGUCUGCAAACUGAAGACACAGGCAUUUACUAUUGUAACAGAAACACAGUGAGGGAAGUCCAUUGUGAACUUACACAAAACUUCUCUACAUGGAUGAUAAAGGUGGGAGCUGAAUCAAAUGUAUGCUGGGAAUGUAUGGCCAUUGCCAUGGCAACAGAUGUACCCUGUCACUUGCAGAUGACAUCUCUGCUGGAAGCUAAACCUGUUCCUGAUACCACCAUUAUUCUCCAGGAUAAAAAUCACAUAAUGGAGAGGCAUAAUGUUCUCUUCGGCAAAAUUCUGCCCUCUGUCCUCUAA